AGGACGAACGCUGGCGGCGUGCUUAACACAUGCAAGUCGAGCGGUAAGGCCCUUUCGGGGGUACACGAGCGGCGAACGGGUGAGUAACACGUGAGCAAUCUGCCCUUCACUUCGGGAUAAGCCUCGGAAACGGGGUCUAAUACCGGAUAUGACUGCGCCAUGCAUGUGGUGUGGUGGAAAGUUCUGGCGGUGAGGGAUGAGCUCGCGGCCUAUCAGCUUGUUGGUGGGGUAAUGGCCUACCAAGGCUUCGACGGGUAGCCGGCCUGAGAGGGUGACCGGCCACACUGGGACUGAGACACGGCCCAGACUCCUACGGGAGCAGCAGUGGGGAAUAUUGGACAAUGGGACGAAAGCCUG
rnacentral:rRNA from 1 species